rnacentral:misc_RNA from 1 species
GCAUCGCAAAGCGACACGCCCAGCCUGAGUUUGCUUCAUAUCAAUAUAUUUUUUUUUUGCAUAGUAUUGGUAUGAUAAUAAUAAUUUAAUCAAUGUUACAUUGAACCGGCUCAAGGAUUUCGCAGUUACUCUGUCACAAUCACUUAAACGUGCAUUAAUUGAACCAUCGCUCGAUGUGUUCGGGUUUUAUUUCAUAGGUAGCAUUCAAAUCUCAAGACUGUAAUCCAACUCUGUCUUCUCAAGCGGAUUACAGCUUAGAUGACUAGGACAGCAGAUAUGGAGGGCUCUGCUGACAGAAAGAAGAUAGAGUCAAUAGGCAAGAUGACGGCACAGUCGCAAGACGAGAUCAUGACCAAUACGAAGACGGUCAUCCAGGGCCUGGAGGCGCUGCGGAAUGACCACAACUCCAUCCUGAACGGCCUGGUGGGCUCGAUGAAGGCCACCGAGGAGCGCUCCGAGCUCGUCGAGGAGAAGGCCGGGCUCAUCCAGAAGAGCCUGGACACCAUUGAGCUGGGACUCGGCGAGGCACAGGUGAUGAUGGCUCUGGCGUCUCAUCUGCAGGGAGUGGAGGCCGAAAAGCAGAAGCUGCGCGCUCAGGUCCGGCGACUGUGUCAGGAGAACGCGUGGCUGCGAGACGAGCUGGCGAACACGCAGCAGAAGCUGCAGGCCAGCGAACAGCAGGUCGCCCAACUCGAGGAGGACAAGAAACAGCUCGAGUUCUUCAACUCCAUCAAAAAGUACGACCAGGACAAUCAGAACCAGGAGAGUAUGUCGGAGUCGACUGCCGAGUCGAUGGAGAAGUCGGCCAACCCGGCCGUCGAGCUGUUCCCUGACGACGAGUCUGAGGAGCGCACCAGUGGCAUGUCGCCCACGCCGCCCUCCCAGUUCGCGCAACAGGUGAACGCUGGCUACGAGAUCCCGGCGCGGCUGCGCACCCUUCACAACCUGGUCAUCCAGUACGCCUCCCAGGGCAGGUACGAGGUGGCCGUGCCGCUGUGUAAGCAGGCACUGGAGGACCUGGAGAAGACCAGCGGCCACGACCACCCGGACGUGGCCACCAUGCUCAACAUCCUGGCGCUCGUCUACAGGGAUCAGAACAAGUACAAGGAGGCGGCCAACCUGCUGAACGACGCGCUGGCCAUCCGUGAGAAGACGCUGGGCGAGAACCACCCGGCGGUGGCAGCCACGUUGAACAACCUGGCCGUGCUGUACGGCAAGCGGGGCAAAUACAAGGACGCGGAGCCGCUCUGUAAGCGGGCGCUGGAGAUCCGAGAGAAGGUGCUGGGCCGCGACCACCCGGACGUGGCUAAGCAGCUCAACAACUUGGCACUUCUCUGUCAGAACCAGGGUAAAUACGAAGAGGUGGAGAGGUAUUACCAGCGCGCGCUGGAGAUCUACGAGACCAAACUGGGACCGGACGACUCGAAUGUGGCCAAGACAAAGAAUAAUCUGGCGUCGGCCUACCUGAAGCAGGGCAAAUACAAGGAAGCAGAAGUGCUCUACAAGGAGGUGCUCGACCGCGCGCACGUGCAGGAGUUCGGAUCGAUCGGAGGCGACAGCAAGCCGAUCUGGCAGGUGGCUGAGGAGCGAGAGGAGAACAAGAGCAAGAACAAGGACAACGCGCCGUAUGGCGAGUACGGCGGCUGGCACAAGGCGGCCAAGGUCGACUCGCCCACCGUCACCACCACGCUAAAGAACCUGGGCGCCCUCUACCGACGUCAGGGCAAGUACGAGGCGGCCGAGACGCUGGAGGAUUGCGCCAUGAGGUCCCGCAAGGAGGAGACUGACAAGCCGGCCUCGUACGGCCUGGACCUGGUGAAGCAGGGCCGCGUGCAGCAGCUCCUCAGCGGCGGAGAGGGCGGCCGAUCGGCGCGGCGCGCCGGCUCCUCGUCCGCCGGCCGGCACGCCUCGCGGGAGAGUCUGGACGCGUCUAUGCACAGCGAGCAGGGAGACGAGGCCGCAUCCGACGCUCGGGCUCGCUGACCAAGCUGCGUGCCUCCAUUCGACGCUCGUCGGCCAAACUGGUGGAUCGCAUCAAGGGCAGGGCUGACGAGACCAGCAUGAAAAGGGCAAAGUCAAUGUCCGUUCUUAGUAACUCAGAGGCUGCGGACGGACGGCCUCCUCCGUUCGGCAUUCCCCGGACAACCAGCACCGAGCAUCUGCGGCACCCGCCGGCGUCCUAAUCCGCCUCUCAUUGGCCGUCAGAGGCCACCGCUGGCGACUGAUUGGUUACCGGAAACUGCGGCCGCCGUCUGAUUGGUCGACGACGAUCGCAGUCAACGUCCUAUUGGUCGCUGGAGGCUGCAGCCGCCGUAUGAUUGGUCACUGACGGCUGCAGCCGCUGUAUGAUUGGUCACUGACGGCUGCAGCCGCUGUAUGAUUGGUCACUGACGGCUGCAGCCGUUGUAUGAUUGGUCACUGACGGCUGCAGCCGUUGUACGAUUGGUCGCUGACGGCUGCAGCCGCCGUAUUAUUGGCUGCCGCCGCCACGCUCGCACGCGAUUGGCCGACUGGCCGGCUGACCGGUAGCCGGCUGCUGGUCUGUGAUGGCCCUCCGUCUCGGGGGCCGGACUGUGGGGCGACUGCGUGUGGACUGUGGGUGGGUGUGGUCCUGCGGGGCACAGCUGUGGCGCCAACAUUCCUCGUUUACAUUGUUUUGUCGGGCCGGCGCGGGCCGCUUGUGUUGGGCGCUGAGCCAGCUUUAACCGGGCGUAGUGAUAGGAGCGUGGCUGCUGGCGGGCCGCCCGCCGCCGCCGCCGCCCCCGCCGCCGCCCCCGCCACGGGCCGCCUCCGGCACGGAGCGGCUACUGUGACGUCAUCCGACUGAGGACGGCGGUGACGUCAUACGCGUCCGCGGCAGCCCCGCUCCAUGUGCUUUUUAUGGUGGAUAUUCUGAAAUAAAUGGUUACCAAAGAUGGAG